AGAAAAUUUAAUGGUCAUCGCUGCUCAUUUCAUCAUCUUCGUCAAAAUAUUUUUUAAAUCCAAAUCUGUGAUCUUCCUUAUGGUUUUAUGUGGACCAAAUACCUACCUACAUUUGGAAGUCAUCAAAUACGAAAGAUCUACCAGUACGAACAGCACAAAUUGUUUUAUGGGUUUGGGAAGUAUUUUUCAUGUAAGAUAAUAAAAUAAUAUCAAAAGUCGAAAAUGUA